rnacentral:lncRNA from 1 species
AUCCAUGUGUGUUGACCAAAUGACAUUGAAAGUCAAAGUCAAACAAUGAGAAACCAGAAAUGGGAUGAAGAUUGGAGGUCAAACAAUAAGCAAAAUAUUUUUGGCAUUUUUAAUAUUAAAAUAAACUUGAAUUAAAAAUAAAAGGAAGGUCAAACUUCAAAAUCACUUCAAAUCAACCUUGAAAGGUCCAAGUGAUUUAUCCCAAGUUUAACAAGGUCAAACAAAGUUUGACAAAAAAUUUCAGCAUUUUU